UGUGUGUUGGGUCGGCGUCUGUGCCGCACGUCGGAGGAGCAAUGACAGUGAAGGUGACUGAUGCCGAUACAAUCUCAGCGAGUGCGGCGUCCAUUAAGGAGUAUAUUAUUAUACUGGGCUUGUGGCACUCGGCGACCUCUUCCAUCGUCCACCGUUUCUGCUUGUCACCAUCGCCACCCUCGAAGCCAAUUCCUCUGCUGG
rnacentral:lncRNA from 1 species